GCUCAGGAUGAACGCUAGCUACAGGCUUAACACAUGCAAGUCGAGGGGUAGCAGGGUAGCAAUACCGCUGACGACCGGCGCACGGGUGAGUAACACGUAUCCAACCUUCCCAUAACUUGGGGAUAGCCUUUCGAAAGAAAGAUUAAUACCCGAUAGUACUUUUUUAGGGCAUCUUGAGAAAGUUAAAGAUUUAUUGGUGAUGGAUGGGGAUGCGUUCCAUUAGAUUGUUGGUGAGGUAACGGCUCACCAAGUCUUCGAUGGAUAGGGGUUCUGAGAGGAAGGUCCCCCACAUUGGUACUGAGACACGGACCAAACUCCUACGGGAGGCAGCAGUGAGGAAUAUUGGCCAAUGGGCGAGAGCCUGAACCA
rnacentral:rRNA from 1 species